rnacentral:rRNA from 1 species
GACAGAGGAUGCAAGCGUUAUCCGGAAUGAUUGGGCGUAAAGCGUGCGUAGGCGGCUGCGCAAGUCGGGUGUGAAACCCCGGGGCUCAACCCCGGAACUGCAUCCGAUACUGCGUGGCUAGAGGUAGGUAGGGGAGAUCGGAAUUCCUGGUGUAGCGGUGAAAUGCGCAGAUAUCAGGAGGAACACCGGUGGCGAAGGCGGAUCUCUGGGCCUUACCUGACGCUCAGGCACGAAAGCUAGGGGAGCGAACAGG